AGCCGACAGAACAAAACUUGUAUCCUAUAAUUAUUAAACACAGGUCUUUUCAUAUCUUCAAAAAAAAUCUUUAGACUUCUACUAUACAUUUCCAAAGCCAUAUUCCCUCAUCUGUCUGAACGCCUUUGCCUUAUCCUCUCAAACUCAUGGCGAACCUGCUCUGAAAAGAUGUCUGGACGCAUUUGCCUUAUCUUCUCUAACUUAUAGCGAACCUGCUCCGAAAUGCCAUUCUCCAGGUAAUAGCUUGCACCUUCCUACAAAGCCUCUCUUGCUAUAAUAUGCGCAAGCGUAUUUUCUGUUUUCGGGAUAAAGCGAUUUCUUGAAAGAGUGAUUUCACUUCUUGAAUAUCUUUGAUAAUCGCUCCUAUAAUAUAUUUAUCGGUUUCUGUACUCUGGCAUUUUUUGAUGACUGUAUUUGAAUCCCUGAAUAUUUCACAUGUAUUAAUGCCUAACAAGAUCCCUAAUCUCAUUGCUUGUAAUCCUGCAUGUGCCUCCCCCGCGAAUGAUGAGGCUACGUUUGAGUGAAGAACCGAUUUUGAUGCUAAAACUUACCCUUGCUAUCUCAAACCACUAGCCCUGAGGCAGAUCUAAAAAAGUUUUGGUCAAAAGUCACAUCAAAGUGGAUAGUUACACGCAUCCUUUGUUCAUCCUGAUUGUGGAGUCUGCCUUCUUCACAGAUACGUAGUUUUUCCUCUAACCCUUGCAGUUUUAAAUUAUAACUUGUUAUCUGUCUUGAAAUAUCUCUGCUACUUGUGAUUUUAUUUUCAUAAAGUAAUUGGUUUCUAUUUGACCAGAUGAGCCAAAGCCCGCAGCAGAAUAAACAACACUGCUCAUUUAUUCCUUGAUUAAAGACCCAGGCACUGUCGAAAAAUGUGGAUACUGUCUUCUUCUGUUUGUCUACAUCUGGGACACCAAGCUUCAACAACCACUCUCUUCAGUUUAGGAUUAGCUAAUGUAGGAAUAUAGUUCCAAGAGAUCUUCCACAUUGUAACUUUUAUUUUCGAUGGCAUCUAUAAAUUCCAUAGUUUUCUGUAGAAUUUUUUGUUUUCGGCCUGUAUAAUAUUAUUGUUAGGAAUCUGAGUAGAACUCUGUAAUAGUUUAUAGGCGUUUCUAACAGAAAAGAUACUUGAUGGUUCUCCUUCCUAGACUUGGAAAUCAUCAUGUACCGAACUAGUCAAAGGGAUCUGCAUAAUACUUUUCGCAAUAUAAAUACUAAAGGUAUUAACUAGAA